ACAACAAUCUGACACACAAAAUAAAAACACACAAGUAGAAUUACAGAAAAAAUUUAAAAAAAAAAGUACAGACAAUAGUCAAAGUAAAAGAAAGAAAAAAGACACUUCCACUAUAGAGAUGGAAGAGUUCAAUGAAAAAAAAAGGCUGUUGGAAGACUCACAAGAUAAUCCUACAUAUUCUGCGAAUGCCUAGUCUUUGCACUCAAUGUAAGCCUAUGUUAAUCUUAUUUUAAGUAUCACUGAAUUGAUUGAAAUGUUCAUUGUAUUUUAAGUGUCAUUAAGUUCAGUUUAAGAGUGCCAUUGCAUGCGUUUAAUGUUCAUCUUAUUUAAGUCAUUACAUAUAUCAAAUGUUCAUUUUAUUUUAAGUGUUGUAUUGCUUGCUGUCACACAAAAUAAUGACAUUUGUGUACUUUCCAAUACUUAAUGUUAAAUCUAGUAACCGUAUGGGAAGUCAAUCUAGUAACUAUGUAGAAAGUCAGUAAACUAUUUAAUCAGUCUAAUCAAGUAUCCAUGUAGGAAGUCAGUCU